rnacentral:lncRNA from 1 species
GUAGUUUGCUCCCAGAAAAGCUGGGAUUUGGGGAAAUGCUGAGUUAUGGGGGUGUGGACACUUCCUCUAGGUCCUGACUCUGGAGUGGUUCCCAGCUCACAGUUUGGGAGGAUCCAACACCAACCUUUACGUGAAGUGGAGGCCCAAGGACAGUGAGGAGCUGGGUGGUCCCAGCCUGGAGCUGUGCCAGCCUGACAUGGGAAUCUUUCCUUUCCGGUGACCAGGGCCCUGCAGAUGUCGCCAGGAAAGUGGUGAUCCAGGCAGGACCAGGCUGCACUGAAGGGACAGAGAAAUGGAGGCAAACGACCAUUUUAACUUUACUGGCCUUCCCCCUGCACCUGCUGCCUCAGGACUGAAACCCUCUCCUUCCUCAGGGGAGGGCCUCUACACUAACGGGUCUCCCAUGAACUUCCCCCAGCAAGGGAAAAGUUUGAAUGGGGAUGUGAAUGUUAAUGGCUUAUCUACUGUAUCUCACACUACUACUUCAGGGAUUUUGAACUCUGCUCCCCACUCCU